CUGCAGCCAAUUAAGCCGACUGGCCCCCUCUCCCUGUGGGGGCCCGGUGUGCUGUGGCUGUGGACAGCAGCCUCCUUGGUAGUGUAUGUGGCCUUUUGCCUGUACGGGUUACCCUAAGGGACCCUGGAGACAGCU
ensembl:snoRNA SNORA70 Small nucleolar RNA SNORA70